AUUGCCAUCAGCCAAUCAGAGUUUUCAUGAUGUCAUUUCCUGCGACCUCAGAGUGAUUAGUCACAUUGAAUUUACGGCUCAGGUGGAUGUCUAAAGAAAUGUGCUUCUGGCAGCAUGUGCUACCUGAGAAACUGCCGUGGAGAUGAAUGGAAACGCCAUCGGAUACUUUCUCCAGGAAUUACAGACCUCCUCGGGUCUUUGACCGGAAGUGGCGCUUCAGCGGGUGGGAGUGUUUUUCUCUGCCAAGAGCCAGAAAGCACUGACCCCUGAAGUGUCACCCUCAUGAGGCCGGUAACAGUACUGCUGUAACAUGAAUCAUUCCUCCACACUCGCUUUCCCAGAAUGGCCAUGGACUGAUGUGACAAACACCGAGCAGGAGACCGGCACAGCUGGGCCGUGUAAAGCCUGCAAGAAAAACAACGAGCGAGAAAUAAAACCUGGACUUAAACUAUGUUUUAUGAGCUUUGACUUAAUGAUGACCACCUCAGAGUGAGUUAUAUAAGAAGAGCUCCACAAACACAGACGCAGGAUUAAGCCACUGAAAUCACCACAGUCAAAUGCUGGAUGAAUGUGAAAUAUCACAGAUUAAAUAAUAAAAUACAAAAAUUAACCCUGGAGGUGAAUGUGUCGAAACAGUAUUAAAAGCGAUAUUAAAUUAGUAACACUUUACAAUAAUGGUGCA